AUGGUAGAUUUGGAUGGAUGGACUAUGGAGAGGAUUGUGGAUUAUUGCCACUAGUGCCAUCGCAGGCUUCAUCAUCUACUUCAUUCCGUGACAAUAUUCUUUGAAAUCUUCAGAAAUCUUAAUCCAAAGUUAUUUCCUGCAAAAUUAAGUAUAGAAAUAAGUUGGAGUAAAAUCUGGAGAAGAACAAAGACGAAAUGUCCGGUGGUAGUGGCAAAGGUGAAUCGAAGGGGAGGCUGCGUGGGAGUGACGUCGUGGAAGCGGUCAAAGCCAUGCUGGAAGAAAUCUUCAUCUUAUUCCUGGAAAUUUUGGCCCUCGUCGUCCUCCCAGCCGUCUUCCUCAUCAGCUCUCCUAAAAAUUUCCCUCGAUACUUGUGCACAAUCUAGGAAAAAAUGUUACCCGGAUUUUACGCUGACAUCUGAUGUAGCUCAUCAUCAGUUGGUUCGUCAGACGUGAAGACGAAGUGCGAUGGUGGGGGAGGGUUUCGAAAGUUGGAGAUGGGACCAUGAGCCGUGGAGUGGGACAGUCACACCCAAGUCCGCAGUAAUUUCCAGCCCGUCAAUCCAAUUAAUCAACCAGUCCUUCCAUUCAUUGUCCGAAGCUAAUAAAUCGAACUGUUAUAACCAUACCCCGGA